GCUUAGCCCUUAACAUAGGCAGCAAACAUACAAUACUGUCCGCCUGAGAACUACAAGUGAAAAACUAGAAACUCUAAGGACUUGGCGGUGUCCCACAUCGACCUAGAGGAGCCUGUCCUAUAAUCGAUAAUCCACGUUAUACCCCACCACCCCUUGCAGUUCAACCUAUAUACCGCCGUCGCCAGCCUACCUUAUGAGAGAAUUAAAGUAGGCUAAAUAGUCAAUAACUAGAACGUCAGGUCAAGGUGUAGUAUAUGGGGUGGAAGAGAUGGGCUACACUUUCUACCACAGAACAUACGAACAGCACAGUGAAACCUGCACUCAAAGGCGGAUUUAGUAGUAAGACAAACAAGAAACUUUGCCUGAAACCCGCUCUGGGACGCGC
rnacentral:rRNA from 1 species